GCAACUCCCAAAACACACAUGACCCCAGAGAAUAAGAAGACCACAGACCUGAGUUGCUUUUCAGACAUCAGAUAGCUGUCCUUGUGGAUGAAAGAAACUCCUUUCCAACUUUGAAGAAAAUGUCCAGGGAUCGGGGAGCAGGCAUGUGAUAUUCUUCAAGGUGCCACCAGUCUCUCUCAAUAAAACAUCUCCAAUGGGAAAACAUGGAACCCAGAAAGGGCUGGUGUGGGAAAAAUAUGACAAGGAUGGCCGGCAAAGUAAGCCCAUGGUGAAUUCAACCCUGAGAAAGCAGAUUUCCUGGAGUGUGCAAGCUUUGCUUAGGCUUAGUUUUAAUAAAUAAUAAAGAGACACAAUUAAACAAACUAAAGGUGAUCUUGCCCCGGAUGGCUCCUUAGGAUCUUUAGAACAUGGCAAUUCAAUUUAAACGCAGAGCCCCUACUCUGCUGGACUGACAGGAAAUUGAACUGUCCAGGUCAUGACUCCCAUGUAUGAAGUGCAGCUGUCCAGGUCACCCCUGGAACAUUUUUCACACCCUUGCUGAGGGCCCUGCUAGGAACCAGGCAUCUUAAGAAGCACUAGGUCAUCUGGAGGCCCUUCCCAUCAUUAGUUCACGUGAGCACGUCCC
rnacentral:lncRNA from 1 species